rnacentral:RNase_P_RNA from 2 species
CCCCAACCAAUGCUGCGUUUCUUUGCUACACACGACGAGGGCGCAAGCCCCGUCCCCUCGCGUGAUCCAGCCAUCGCCGAGGGAUUCUGCAAAUGAGAAAUUCGGAGGAAUCUUCACCUAACCCAGUAACCCGCCCUCUUUGGGCCUCGCGGUCCAGGGGGGCCGGUACUGCCCGUGAGGGCCUGGUGUGAAGCACCUGCAAUCGGCAUCAGAAACAUCGGGGCCGGAUUCCUAGGAUUUGGGUUUCCCCAUGGGAGAGUCGUUGCGAAGAUUGUGUGUUAUGACACUUUAGUGCAAUACGCAGCAUGCGCCUGUCCUUGCCAGCCAGAAAUGGUGGGUUGGAGGGCGUAUCAUUCGAUUCCGAUUAUUCUGGCUGGGG